UCACUUCCAUAUGUGCCCUGGACACCUCUAU
rnacentral:piRNA from 1 species